rnacentral:lncRNA from 1 species
AUGGGCCAAAUCAAGACCCAGGAAUUUGGAGAGCAAACUUUGGCCUCUUCAGGGACCUACUUAGGGGAAUCUCAUGGAAGGAGGGGGAUCCAGGAGAGCUGCUUAAUAUUCAAGUAUCGCUUCCUCCAAGCUCAAGAUCAGUGCAUCCCUCUGAGGAAGAAGUCCAGCAAAGCAGGCAGGAGACCUGCAUGGAUGAGCAAGGAACUCCUGGCAAAACUCCAACAGAAGAAGGAAGUGCACAGAACGUGGAAAGGGGGACAGGCCACUUGGGAGGAAUACAGGGACGUUGUCAGAGUGUGCAGGGAUGCGACAAGGAAGGCUAAGGCCCAGUUGGAAUUAAAUCUGGCAAGGGAUGUCAAGGACAACAAGAAGGGGCUCUUCAAAUACAUCAAGAGCAAAAGGAAGACUAGGGAAAACGUGGGCCCGCUGCUGAAUGGGGCGGGUGCCCUGGUGACAAAGGAUACGGAGAAGGCAGAGUUGCUGAAUGCUGCCUUUGCUUCAGUCUUCACUGCUAAGGCCAGUCCUCAGGCAUUCCAGACCCUGGAGACCAGGGAGAAAGUCUGGAGAAAGGAAGACUCUCCCUUGGUGGAGGAGGAUCAGGUUAGAGAUCUUUUGUCCAAACUUGACAUCCAUAAAUCCAUGGGCCCCGAUGGGAUGCACCCACGAGUGCCGAGGGAGCUGGCGGAUGUUAUCGCUAGGCCACUCUCCAUCCUCUUGGAAAGGUCCUGGAGAACAGGAGAGGUGCCUGAGGACUGGAAGAAAGCCAAUGUCACGCCAGUCUUCCAAAAGGGCAAGAAGGAGGAGCCUGGAAACUACAAGUCUGUCAGCCUCACCUCCAUCCCUGGAAAGGUGAUGGAACAGCUCCUCCUGGAGGUCAUCUCUAAGCAAAUGGAGGACCAGAAGGUGAUCCGGAAUAGUCAGCAAGGAUUCACCCAAGGGGAUUCAUGCUUGACCAAUCUGAGAGCCUUCUCUGAUGGAACGCCUGGCUGGGUAGAUGAGGGCAGAGCAGUGGAUGUUGUCUCCCUGGACUUCAGCAAG